UUUCCGUAGGUGAACCUGCGGAAGGAUCAUUAUUGGAUUUUGAAACUUCAGGCUGCUGCUGGCUCUCCUCGGAGGGCAUGUGCACGCUUGUUGUCCAUUAUUUCUCCCACUGUGCACAAAUUGUUGACCUUUCAGUAGGCCUAUGUUGUUUUUCACAAUCUCUGAAUGUAAUAGAAUGGUUUUGAAUCUUGGGAAAUACAAUACAACUUUCAGCAACGGAUCUCUUGGCUCUC
rnacentral:misc_RNA from 1 species